UCCUUCGAAGGUACGUCUGGAAGUCUCCCGUUUCAUCACUCCACCGCCCUACGUCGCUAUAAGAAUCAUCCCUGUCGUGUGUUUUCCCAAGGGCAAUCCUGAUUGUGCCCACGUCCGUUCCCCCCACCUUGCCGGCGGCCCGUCCCUCGCCGGAGCCCCACUACUGGGCCUCAUGCCUCUCCAUCCACCGGCACCGGCCCUCCUUUGUCCGUUCCGCCGAGGUGGUGUCACACCCAUGAGAAGGCGUACGGGAGACGCAUGGAGGUCACAACAAGCAGUCCCCCGCCCAAAAAAUUUGGGAGCGGCCGCCUCGCUUAGCUCCUCGUGUAGCGACAGCCAUGCGGGAGAGGGUCGACUGCUACAUCGUCGCCAUGAUCCACCCCUGAAGCCGUAGCCAUCGCGUUGGCCGCUCCAAGCACAUGACGAAGGCCGCAGUGGCGCAGCCAGUGCUCACGGCGUCGCCUUCAUCUGAGAGGACCAACAUCAUCAAGCGCUCCAUCGAAGGAUCUGGCUUCCCUGGCCGGCGUCGGGUCCAUCGGCCAGAGCCUCGCCGGUGUUGUUCAGCCGGUGGGACUAUGAGACGCAGUUCUGGGAGCUCCAGCGGCAGCAUGAGAGGUACAUAACUUGUGGAUACGCAGAUACCUACUCCGCGGCUACUCGACAAACCAUCGGCGACUCUUUGGUCACCGUUGGCUUCCUAUCGCCGGUCGGCCUCCCCGCCGCCGCAUACGCUCAGCCCCGGAAGCUGGCUUGCCAUCCGUCUUUGUUCGCUGCUAUUAGCUGUGUUUUUUAGACGAUUCUGUAAGAGAAAUGACGAAGGGGAAUUGGACGCCGCCGGCUACUGUUGCGUGCAGGAUUCGUGCAACGGGGGAGGAUAUUAAGAGCAGAUGACAAGCAAAGGCGACGACUUUAGAUAAUGGAGAGCCUGCCUAGAUGUUAACCUCUCACAUGUUAAUCGAGAUCAAGAAGCCUGGAUGCUAGCGUUUUCAAAUUCACACCCACGCACCGCCGCACAUGCUACUGUGCCAUCACUGGACGUCUGGUGCGUCACCAUGCACUCACUGUCUUGCAUAGGCCUUUCUUAGUGGCGAUGUCUCCAGACGAGUUGCUAUGGGUGACGCCUCGGAUCUGGGAGGGCCGUACGUCGGUACGUGCUGCUCGGUUGCCAGCCCCAGCGAAUCUCUGUUCUAUUUAAUUUCAAAAGUUUGGUCGUGUUCUACAUAUCCUUUUCUUAUACGGAUUCUACAUAUAUUUUGAUCCCAGUAUAAUAUUAUUUGGAUUAUACUCAUUACUCAAUGAUGAGGGUAGAAUUAGUGGAUGCUUGCUAUAAAGAUGGACGUAUAAUCCAUAUGGUUGGAUUCUGGAUUGAUCCGUAUGGUUGAACAGAAUAAAGAGUUGGACACAACAUGCCUACACGGAAACACCAACAUGCACGGUCCUUGAACUAAUUAUAGUUCAUUUCUUCACGUAUUAGUAACUUUUCUAUUCCUGCAACAAGGGAUUCCUUUUUCUUUUUUGAGAUUUUCUUGGAUUUACCAGCAAAUUUUAUGAGCUUGCCAUGUGAAUUCUGGGGUAAUUGAGUGGUACGCUCCUUGGGUGGACAUAGCGAUUUAUUCUGGGAUUUGUUUUUAUCAAAUUACCUUUUGUUCGUUUGCUUUCGGUUUGACCGCUGAUAGGUGCAUGCAUUGACGGGCGUGAAAUUUGGAGUGAUAUGAUUACCUGGCGGUCGAUGUGACUACAUGCGUGCAUGUGAUUAGCGUAGGUGCUUUUCCUAUUAUUUUUCUUCCAACUGAGAUAUUUUCCUUCGGUCGUUUUGUGUGGGUGGCUUCUUUUCUUUAUUUUUUUUAAUUUUAGUACCUCUCCGUGCGUAUUAAGAUAUAUUUUCUGACUUCUUAUCAUCUCUGGUUUGUUUCCCGUCGUCACGUUUGCAUGUGUGGCUUAAUAAUGGUUUUGACGGGGUGGAUUAUGGUCGACGUGUUGCAUUUUGUUAUUUCAUUAUUGUCAGCACCGUUCGUAUUGAAUUUUUCUUUUUGUUCCUUUAGAGGUCAGUUGCCACUUUGGUUGUAGUUUCUAGAGGUCUCUGAUAUUUUAGAUGGUGCUCAUGAUAGGGACCGGUGACUAUUUAAGGUGUGGAUGUGAUGCAUUUCAAUUUGUGGUUUGCUCACCCUGGUUCUUAUUUUAUUUCAUGGCAGGACGUGGUGCCUCUGAUGGCGUCAUUGGACAUGGCUGCAUUCAGCUAGGCCGCCUCCUGUUGGUAGACGUGGUCUUGUUGGCCAGGAGGUGAAUAUUGAUCAUGGUCUAUGGGCAUUUGGGCAGGCUACUAGACGUGCAAUCAAUGGAGCCCCAAAAGGGCCCAGAGGUCGCCUCUGGAAGUUGUGCUCACUAUAUUACCAUUAUAUCAAUGAUCAUAGCUAUCAUGCAUCUGAAGUCACAAACACAAACUUGUUUCCAAGAAGGCACAGCCAUCAAUGACAGUUCAACAUGGCCCAUCAGAACAUAACCGCCCAGCAAAAUGAAUUCACAAUACAGACUAAGAUCCUGGCAAAGAUAUGAACAACCAAACUAUUGUCGUUCUAGAGGGAAGAGGGAAGCUCUCACACUAAACGAUAUUCUGUAACUGGACACUCGGAUAAGAUAGAUGUAUAAGUGGUUACCACCAGAAGAGGACUGAAACGCCAAACAACACAAAAUGAAGUAGAAUCUUGCACUUUAAUUGUAAAUUUGCAUUUAUAUCGAACAAACAAUUAGAAAUGCACAUUGUGUCAAUCAGAGCUCUGAUUGUCAUGCUAUGUAUCUAAAGAACUAGAUUGGUAAUUAGACUACAUUUUGAAUGAUGAAAAUCAGAUCCAGAAUUCUAUAGAUAGGUUAUAUAUUUGUUUUUCGUUUGUUUUGUUUGUAAAGUUGUAGUGCAGUUCUGAUUUAGAUGUGGUAAUGAAGCUUUUGACAAUUUCCAAGCAAUAGUGCAUGGUUGAUGUUGCCCUUUGUUGGCACCAAUAAUUUUAUUAUGUAUUGGAGUGCCACUAUGUCUUCUGGGCCGUUUGUCAUUACCUAAUUUUAUUGAGAAGUGAUUUGAUUUUUUUUAUGUUUGCAAAGACUUCCCCUAAAUACAUUCUCAUAAGAUGAUAAAAAAGCUGUUAAAAAUCAUUUCGUUUUAGAGGUACUAGAAUGUCAGAUUUAUAAUUUCCGUCUUGCAAGAUGUAGCACUCAUGGUGAUAAUAAAUUUAUCUUUUCCAAAUUGUCCUUGUGCAUAUCUUGCUUUCUUGUGAUUAAAAAUUUAUAACUGCAAACUUACACACAUGAAGCUCUUAUUUCUCAUCACAUGAGCCAAAAAUAUGCAUAUACACAUGUACUGUAUCGACGGGGCGCGGCGUGCCGCCGCGCGGGUACAGCUAGUCAUAUAUUAAAGAAUGGACUACAAAUUUUCAUUGUAUAGUUCAUCAACAAAGGUCGGAAACUAUGGCAACUGCCAAAUUCAUCCCCAUGUUCUUUGUUUCUUUGAUGCCGCUGGAUAG